AAAUCUCAAAUAUACCUGCUUAGUAGGCUCUGAUUUGAUGGUGACAACAGCUUACAAGUGAAACCAUUAUUAUAUUUCAGUUUUAUUCGGACUUCCAACCGAGAAGGUCCCCUGGCAGUGAACAAUUUAUAAUCCUAAAAUCGGCUCUAAAUUUAUGGUGACAACGGCAUUCAAGUGAAACCAAAAUUAUAUUUCAGUUUUAUUCACACAUCCAACUGGGAAGGUCCCAAAAAGUGAACCAUUUUUAGUCUUCGAAUUUCUGCGACAAUUUUCGUUAAUUCAAAUAAUUUAUUUACGUUUUAUUCAUACACCCAACUGAGAAGGUCUCAAACAGUGAAUAAUUUUAUACCCCAGAAUUACUGCGACAAAACUUUCGUUUAUUCAAAUAACACUUAUUUGCGUUUUUCAUAAAUCUAACUGAGAAGGUCCCAAACUGAAGUGAACCAUUUUUAAUCCAAGAGUUCCUGCGACAGAAUUUUCGAUUUCAAAUUAUAGUUUACGUAUUAUUCACACGUCUAGCUACGAAGGUCCCUGUGCCAAAUUUUCCGUUUAUUCGCCUUGAUAAUCUCGUUGUACAAAUCGUUUCCCUCGCAGGUGCGCUCGCCGAUUCCCGCGAAGAGGGUGUAUCGAGGAUACUUCGGUUUUGCAGGAAUCGGUAAGCGCACGUGUUAGGGGAACGAUUUGGAGAAUGAGACGCCGCCCAAGGAGUCUAUUCAGUCUUUGGAUAGCCGGGAAAUGUACGAUUUGAUUUCAAGUGACGGGUAAAGAUUCGUUGUAAAUGGCAUAAGCUUACACUCAUUAAUUGGUUCAACAAUAUUGGAUUGGGUAUCCAGCAAUGCCACUUCGGCCAUGACCCGUGGACACCUUGUGUCGUUGGAAGUCCACCAAUUACGGCUAGAAUCCCUAUAUUGAAUGCGGUAGCAGCAUUUCGCCGAGACAAAUGCUCCAAAAAUGCGGAAAAAGUGGGAAGGCUCACCUGGUCACCAUGAACUUGUUCGAGUCGACGGUGAACUUUUCGCGGUGCAGAUAUUUGUUGAUCCCAAUCAUGUGACGCCGGACAUAAUCAUCGUAGUCCAGCUCCUCCAGAUUCCAAUAGAGCGUGGGAUACGUGCCAUUGUCAAUCAUUUCCUUAAAAUAGAACCGGCUGCUGUUUUUGAAGAUCCAUUCGUUCAGCGAGAAAAAGCUACCUACAAGCCUGCCGGAAUUUCUUGGCAAUGGGUGUGACUAGGCGCUUUUUUUGGGCCAACAGGAGAGUUUGCAUAUCCAUAAGCAAGGCGGGAACAAAAUGGAGAAUCCAGACGGCCAACUCAUGUUUGAGAGCACUGCACCUG